rnacentral:rRNA from 1 species
GUAAAAAGUAGAAUAAUAGAUUUGAAAUAUUUAUUAUAUAGAUUUAAAGAGAUAAUCAUGGAGUAUAAUAAUUAAAUUUAAUAAAUUUAAUAUAACUAUUAAUAGAAUUAGGUUACUAAUAAAUUAAUAACAAUUAAUUUUAAAACCUAAAGGUAAACCUUUAUAUUAAUAAUGUUAUUUUUUAUUAUAUUUAUAAUAAGAAUAAUUAUUAAUAAUAAUAAACUAAGUGAACUGAAACAUCUAAGUAACUUAAGGAUAAGAAAUCAACAGAGAUAUUAUGAGUAUUGGUGAGAGAAAAUAAUAAAGGUCUAAUAAGUAUUAUGUGAAAAAAAUGUAAGAAAAUAGGAUAACAAAUUCUAAGACUAAAUACUAUUAAUAAGUAUAGUAAGUACCGUAAGGGAAAGUAUGAAAAUGAUUAUUUUAUAAGCAAUCAUGAAUAUAUUAUAUUAUAUUAAUGAUGUACCUUUUGUAUAAUGGGUCAGCAAGUAAUUAAUAUUAGUAAAACAAUAAGUUAUAAAUAAAUAGAAUAAUAUAUAUAUAUAAAAAAAUAUAUUAAAAUAUUUAAUUAAUAUUAAUUGACCCGAAAGCAAACGAUCUAACUAUGAUAAGAUGGAUAAACGAUCGAACAGGUUGAUGUUGCAAUAUCAUCUGAUUAAUUGUGGUUAGUAGUGAAAGACAAAUCUGGUUUGCAGAUAGCUGGUUUUCUAUGAAAUAUAUGUAAGUAUAGCCUUUAUAAAUAAUAAUUAUUAUAUAAUAUUAUAUUAAUAUUAUAUAAAGAAUGGUACAGCAAUUAAUAUAUAUUAGGGAACUAUUAAAGUUUUAUUAAUAAUAUUAAAUCUCGAAAUAUUUAAUUAUAUAUAAUAAAGAGUCAGAUUAUGUGCGAUAAGGUAAAUAAUCUAAAGGGAAACAGCCCAGAUUAAGAUAUAAAGUUCCUAAUAAAUAAUAAGUGAAAUAAAUAUUAAAAUAUUAUAAUAUAAUCAGUUAAUGGGUUUGACAAUAACCAUUUUUUAAUGAACAUGUAACAAUGCACUGAUUUAUAAUAAAUAAAAAAAAAAUAAUAUUUAAAAUCAAAUAUAUAUAUAUUUGUUAAUAGAUAAUAUACGGAUCUUAAUAAUAAGAAUUAUUUAAUUCCUAAUAUGGAAUAUUAUAUUUUUAUAAUAAAAAUAUAAAUACUGAAUAUCUAAAUAUUAUUAUUACUUUUUUUUUUUAAUAAUAAUAAUAUGGUAAUAGAACAUUUAAUGAUAAUAUAUAUUAGUUAUUAAUUAAUAUAUGUAUUAAUUAAAUAGAGAAUGCUGACAUGAGUAACGAAAAAAAGGUAUAAACCUUUUCACCUAAAACAUAAGGUUUAACUAUAAAAGUACGGCCCCUAAUUAAAUUAAUAAGAAUAUAAAUAUAUUUAAGAUGGGAUAAUCUAUAUUAAUAAAAAUUUAUCUUAAAAUAUAUAUAUUAUUAAUAAUUAUAUUAAUAAUAUAUAUAAUUAUAUUAUAUAUUAUAUAUUUUUUUAUAUAAUAUAAACUAAUAAAGAUCAGGAAAUAAUUAAUGUAUACCGUAAUGUAGACCGACUCAGGUAUGUAAGUAGAGAAUAUGAAGGUGAAUUAGAUAAUUAAAGGGAAGGAACUCGGCAAAGAUAGCUCAUAAGUUAGUCAAUAAAGAGUAAUAAGAACAAAGUUGUACAACUGUUUACUAAAAACACCGCACUUUGCAGAAACGAUAAGUUUAAGUAUAAGGUGUGAACUCUGCUCCAUGCUUAAUAUAUAAAUAAAAUUAUUUAACGAUAAUUUUAUUAAAUUUAGGUAAAUAGCAGCCUUAUUAUGAGGGUUAUAAUGUAGCGAAAUUCCUUGGCCUAUAAUUGAGGUCCCGCAUGAAUGACGUAAUGAUACAACAACUGUCUCCCCUUUAAGCUAAGUGAAAUUGAAAUCGUAGUGAAGAUGCUAUGUACCUUCAGCAAGACGGAAAGACCCUAUGCAGCUUUACUGUAAUUAGAUAGAUCGAAUUAUUGUUUAUUAUAUUCAGCAUAUUAAGUAAUCCUAUUAUUAGGUAAUCGUUUAGAUAUUAAUGAGAUACUUAUUAUAAUAUAAUGAUAAUUCUAAUCUUAUAAAUAAUUAUUAUUAUUAUUAUUAAUAAUAAUAAUAUGCUUUCAAGCAUAGUGAUAAAACAUAUUUAUAUGAUAAUCACUUUACUUAAUAGAUAUAAUUCUUAAGUAAUAUAUAAUAUAUAUUUUAUAUAUAUUAUAUAUAAUAUAAGAGACAAUCUCUAAUUGGUAGUUUUGAUGGGGCGUCAUUAUCAGCAAAAGUAUCUGAAUAAGUCCAUAAAUAAAUAUAUAAAAUUAUUGAAUAAAAAAAAUAAUAUAUAUUAUAUAUAUUAAUUAUAAAUUGAAAUAUGUUUAUAUAAAUUUAUAUUUAUUGAAUAUAUUUUAGUAAUAGAUAAAAAUAUGUACAGUAAAAUUGUAAGGAAAACAAUAAUAACUUUCCUCAAAAAAUAAUUAUGGAAAGAAUUAAAUUAAUAUAAUGGUAUAACUGUGCGAUAAUUGUAACACAAACGAGUGAAACAAGUACGUAAGUAUGGCAUAAUGAACAAAUAACACUGAUUGUAAAGGUUAUUGAUAACGAAUAAAAGUUACGCUAGGGAUAACAGGGUAAUAUAACGAAAGAGUAGAUAUUGUAAGUUAUGUUUGCCACCUCGAUGUCGACUCAACAUUUCCUCUUGGUUGUAAAAGCUAAGAAGGGUUUGACUGUUCGUCAAUUAAAAUGUUACGUGAGUUGGGUUAAAUACGAUGUGAAUCAGUAUGGUUCCUAUCUGCUGAAGGAAAUAUUAUCAAAUUAAAUCUCAUUAUUAGUACGCAAGGACCAUAAUGAAUCAACCCAUGGUGUAUCUAUUGAUAAUAAUAUAAUAUAUUUAAUAAAAAUAAUACUUUAUUAAUAUAUUAUCUAUAUUAGUUUAUAUUUUAAUUAUAUAUUAUCAUAGUAGAUAAGCUAAGUUGAUAAUAAAUAAAUAUUGAAUACAUAUUAAAUAUGAAGUUGUUUUAAUAAGAUAAUUAAUCUGAUAAUUUUAUACUAAAAUUAAUAAUUAUAGGUUUUAUAUAUUAUUUAUAAAUAAAUAUAUUAUAAUAAUAAUAAUUAUUAUUAUUAAUAAAAAAUAUUAAUUAUAAUAUUAAUAAAAUACUAAUUUAUCAGUUAUCUAUAUAAUAUCUAAUCUAUUAUUCUAUAUACU